AACGCUGGCGGCAGGCCUAACACAUGCAAGUCGAACGCCCCGCAAGGGGAGUGGCAGACGGGUGAGUAACACGUGGGAACCUUCCCUAUAGUACGGAAUAGCCCAGGGAAACUUGGAGUAAUACCGUAUACGCCCGAAAGGGGAAAGAAUUUCGCUAUAGGAUGGGCCCGCGUAGGAUUAGCUAGCUGGUGAGGUAAUGGCUCACCAAGGCGACGAUCCUUAGCUGGUUUGAGAGAACGACCAGCCACACUGGGACUGAGACACGGCCCAGACUCCUACGGGAGGCAGCAGUGGGGAAUAUUGGACAAUGGGCGCAAGCCUGAUCCAGCCAUGCCGCGUGAGUGAUGAAGGCCUUAGGGUUGUAAAGCUCUUUUGCCGGGGGCGAUAAUGACGGUACCCGGAGAAUAAGUCCCGGCUAACU
rnacentral:rRNA from 1 species